GUAUUUGUUUGAAUAAACUUUGACUCUCGAUUUGUAAUCAAUAGGUCCGCGGUUCGAAUCCGUGCGGGGGCACCA
rnacentral:tRNA from 1 species